GAGAUUCUAGUAAAAUAUUAUUACAUUUCCUUGUCAGGGCAAAAUUGUGGGUUUAAAUCCCACGAAUCUUA
rnacentral:tRNA from 1 species